rnacentral:misc_RNA from 1 species
CGUGCCCACUGCUUGCACCCAAUCGACGACCCGUGCUAUCUAUCAGCGCGCAGUGAGCUCAGCAGCCGUGUCUCUCUCAUACGUCGUGGCAUGUGCACCGGUGCCCGCCUUUGCAUGAGCGCCAUCCACUACCUAGCGCGUGAGUGAGUGUGGUGCGCACACACGUGCCAUUCGGGGAGGCCAACAGGAACGCUAUACUGAAGAGGAGAGAGCGUUCGCGUCGAGGUCAACCUCGACGCGGUCGGAUGUCUUUCCUGAAGAGAUGCGUGCUCGUCGUCAACAACCGCAGCGGUAGUCGGCAUGCCGCGCAGACCUUCGCCAGCAUACUUAAAGGGUACCUUGACCGCGCUGGCAUUGUGCACCACGACGUGCACAUCCCGAACGAUGAUGUUGCGGAGCAGUUGCAGCGGGCGUUGCCGCAGGCGGAGGCGCUGGUUCUCUGCGGUGGUGACGGUACGGUGAACAGUGCUCUGAAUCUUAUUGCGGCCAUGCCAUCCUCAGGCGCAGGGCCAAACACAGCAGUGCCGCUGCCGUCGGUGCUGGAGUCUAUGCCGUUGCUUUUGGUACCCGCCGGCCUGCACAACUCCAUAGCCACCUCGCUCGGUGUCACCUCAGUGGAGCGCGCGGUUUCGAGUCUCGUGGUGGGCCGCGCCGUUCGUGUUCCGUUGUGGGCCGUGCAUCUGCAUCAUCCACACGCGCCUUACGGCGCGUUUCCAAUACGCUACAUGUGCUCCUAUGUUGCUACUGGCACCUACGCGGCGUCGGUGCGGCGGCACGGCAACUGGAAGAAGGUGCAGGAGGAGUACGUUUCCAUGCCCGCCGCACUCGGGUGCUUUACCGCCAUAGCACUGUUCACCACUAUCGAGCACGCGCCUCCUGAAUCGACGGUAGUGCUGACGCACAUCAACAAUGAGACCGCCUCCUCCAGUGUUGGGCCGCUGCGUCUCCUCGUGGCCUCGCAGAUGCCGCAGCUGCAGCCCGGAUACUCCCUCACCCCCGCUGCCACGUACCAUCGGCGACAACUUACCGUCACCACGGCCACAGCCGAGGCAACCCGCAUGCGGAUGUGGCAUCUUCUGCACCGAGAGGCGAGGGAAGGCUAUAUUCUUGCAGAGGACGGCGUCGCGAUGCAGGAGCAGGUGCGCGGCUUGCGCAUCGACUUCCCUGCUGCUUCACAGCUCCCCGUCCUCGCAACACGCUCGACCCAGCCACCAGAGAACGAUGGGGGUGAGGGGAGGCUGGGGUCGGCGCUGCUGGUGGUGGACGGCGAGUCUGUGCAGGUGCCUACCGGUUCCUCGGUCACAGUGAUGCCGACGGAGCUGUCGGUGCAGCUGAUCGUAAGCUAGCCAAAGGGAGACGGUCCGACCAUGCUCAUGGAGGUAGGAGUGGGAGUCGGGGGCGGGAGUGGCGCAGAGAGCGUAGGGGACGGCGAAGCAGGUCUCUCUUCCUGUGCACGUUCUGGAUCCUGCUGUGCCCAGUCAUUGCGGGCGGCACGUGGAUCGUCCCCUUCGCUUCACCCGUUCCUCAACUUCUUCUUCAUCCCCUUCGCGCUGAGAGCGCAGCACCCCGUCGUCACUGCAAGAUACGCACGGAGACGCAGGCCGAUGAAACCAAUACAUGCACGGAUAGCAUUGAUCAGCGCCACACCCCCUUCCCUCCUUGCAGCCCUACACUUCUCUUAUCCAUGCACGCUUGCAGAGGGAAGGGAGGGGAUGAGACGAGACGGUGCCUUGCGGUUGCUGGUGAGAGGCACCAGUAAAGUAAGAAUAGCCACACAGCCCUGACUGCGUUCCAGCGCCACGCCUACCUCUUACUCUCCGUUCAUCACUCG